AAAUAGAACUUUGCAGAGAGAGUUAAGAGGGCGUGAACCGUUAAUUGGCAAACGAAUCGGAGCCACGAAGUCGUUUCGCUGAUAAGUUGGGCCAAGUUCAGCUUAGGAGAGAUCCUGGGUGUAUUCUUGUUAGUCCAACCAUCAUUGUAAGCGUACACUGCAACCAGUUAGACGAUUGGAGAUGGGCUCAGUUUGUCGGUGAUGGAGCAAUUCAAAGCCGGCAGGCGAAGUACUUGUUUACCUGGGUUAGUAGUAGCAUGUUUGUGCUUCGGUGCUAGUGUGCUGCUGGGCUCAUGGUGAGUGAACUAUUUCCAAAUACUGACUGGCAAAAUGAAAAUCGCCUUGUGCGUUGCAUAGAAGGCAACAGUUUGCAUUCGUAUCUACAUCCUCGACCAUGGGGUUUUAAGCUCAGCAUUUUCGAAUUUGGACUUGCUGGCUACCAAUGGGGCAACUCUUGGUGCCAGUAUAGCUUUCAUCUAAUCAGGUGUUGACUUGAUCCUGUGUCGUUCGGUGGUGCUACGAUAGGGUGCGAAUGUAAGAUUGUUUGCCAUUGAUUGGCAGUGAGUAGGUCGGCUUUCCGAACGACCCGUCUUGAAACACGGACCAAGGAGUCUAAUUAGGCAUCAGUCGAUCGGUCUUGAAUAGGCCAGACGGGUGGAUUCGUCCACCGAUUGAAGGCGUAGAGAAAUCAAAUCAUGUGAUCAUGGGGGCAAUACCAGCCCUUAUGCGCAACAUGUGCCUGUUCGUAUAGUAAUGUUAGCAAUAACUUACUGGGCGGAGCAAAGAGAUGCCUGAUUGGUACCCGAAAGAUGGUGAACUAUGCUUGGGCAAAUUGAAGCCAGAGGAAACUCUGGUGGAGGAUUGUAGCGAUUCUGACGUGCAAAUCGAUCGUCAGACCUGAGUAUAGGGGCGAAAGACUAAUCGAACCAUC
rnacentral:rRNA from 1 species